rnacentral:rRNA from 1 species
UACAGAGGUCUCAAGCGUUGUUCGGAUUCAUUGGGCGUAAAGGGUGCGUAGGCGGCGCGGUAAGUCGGGUGUGAAAUCUCGGAGCUUAACUCCGAAACUGCAUUCGAUACUGCCGUGCUUGAGGACUGGAGAGGAGACUGGAAUUUACGGUGUAGCGGUGAAAUGCGUAGAUAUCGUGGAGAACACCCGUGGCGAAGGCGGGCUUCUGGCUAAUUACUGACGCUGAGGUGCGAAAGCUAGGGGAGCGAACAGG